rnacentral:lncRNA from 1 species
UCAAUCAGAGGGGAAAAGCAUGAGGGGAUUUGUUUCAUGAAAAAAUAAACAUCGAGAGGAACAUGAACGAAAUGGGCUCAAAAUAUAAACGUCUGGUUUAUGAGGAUGAGGUCCUUGUCAGGCAUUUUAAACAGGAUGGAAUACAGGCGCGUGCACUAGCAUGCCUGAGGCCUUGUUCGUUUGUGUCGGAUUGGUGGGUCGGAACGAUUCCGAGCCGGAUUGCUUCUCUAAUUUAUAUAAACUUUGAUUAACCGGAACGAUUCCGGGUGCAAUCCGAUGUAACCGAACAAGGCCUGAAUCGAAUCUUGAUGAAACCCAACCGAAUUCAUGAGCAAUCCUGAACAUUUUACCUUCGUUAAAUUCG